rnacentral:rRNA from 1 species
CGGAGUGGACGCAUCACUGGUGUUCGGGUUGUCAUGCCAAUGGCACUGCCCGGUAGCUAAAUGCGGAAGAGAUAAGUGCUGAAAGCAUCUAAGCACGAAACUUGCCCCGAGAUGAGUUCUCCCUGAGACUUUAAGUCUCCUGAAGGAACGUUGAAGACGACGACGUUGAUAGGCCGGGUGUGUAAGCGCAGCGAUGCGUUGAGCUAACCGGUACUAAUGAACCGUGAGGCUUAACCUUAC